AGAGUUUGAUCCUGGCUCAGGAUGAACGCUAGCUACAGGCUUAACACAUGCAAGUCGAGGGGCAGCAUUUCAGUUUGCUUGCAAACUGGAGAUGGCGACCGGCGCACGGGUGAGUAACACGUAUCCAACCUGCCGAUAACUCGGGGAUAGCCUUUCGAAAGAAAGAUUAAUACCCGAUGGUAUAAUCAGACCGCAUGGUCUUGUUAUUAAAGAAUUUCGGUUAUCGAUGGGGAUGCGUUCCAUUAGGCAGUUGGUGAGGUAACGGCUCACCAAACCUUCGAUGGAUAGGGGUUCUGAGAGGAAGGUCCCCCACAUUGGAACUGAGACACGGUCCAAACUCCUACGGGAGGCAGCAGUGAGGAAUAUUGGUCAAUGGACGCGAGUCUGAACCAGCCAAGUAGCGUGAAGGAUGACUGCCCUAUGGGUUGUAAACUUCUUUUAUAUGGGAAUAAAGUUUUCCACGUGUGGAAUUUUGUAUGUACCAUAUGAAUAAGGAUCGGCUAACUCCGUGCCAGCAGCCGCGGUAAUACGGAGGAUCCGAGCGUUAUCCGGAUUUAUUGGGUUUAAAGGGAGCGUAGGUGGACAGUUAAGUCAGUUGUGAAAGUUUGCGGCUCAACCGUAAAAUUGCAGUUGAUACUGGCUGUCUUGAGUACAGUAGAGGUGGGCGGAAUUCGUGGUGUAGCGGUGAAAUGCUUAGAUAUCACGAAGAACUCCGAUUGCGAAGGCAGCUCACUGGACUGCAACUGACACUGAUGCUCGAAAGUGUGGGUAUCAAACAGGAUUAGAUACCCUGGUAGUCCACACAGUAAACGAUGAAUACUCGCUGUUUGCGAUAUACAGUAAGCGGCCAAGCGAAAGCAUUAAGUAUUCCACCUGGGGAGUACGCCGGCAACGGUGAAACUCAAAGGAAUUGACGGGGGCCCGCACAAGCGGAGGAACAUGUGGUUUAAUUCGAUGAUACGCGAGGAACCUUACCCGGGUUUGAACGUAGUCUGACCGGAGUGGAAACACUCCUUCUAGCAAUAGCAGAUUACGAGGUGCUGCAUGGUUGUCGUCAGCUCGUGCCGUGAGGUGUCGGCUUAAGUGCCAUAACGAGCGCAACCCUUAUCUUUAGUUACUAACAGGUCAUGCUGAGGACUCUAGAGAGACUGCCGUCGUAAGAUGUGAGGAAGGUGGGGAUGACGUCAAAUCAGCACGGCCCUUACGUCCGGGGCUACACACGUGUUACAAUGGGGGGUACAGAAGGCAGCUACCUGGUGACAGGAUGCUAAUCCCAAAAGCCUCUCUCAGUUCGGAUCGAAGUCUGCAACCCGACUUCGUGAAGCUGGAUUCGCUAGUAAUCGCGCAUCAGCCAUGGCGCGGUGAAUACGUUCCCGGGCCUUGUACACACCGCCCGUCAAGCCAUGGGAGCCGGGGGUACCUGAAGUCCGUAACCGCAAGGAUCGGCCUAGGGUAAAACUGGUGACUGGGGCUAAGUCGUAACAAGGUAGCCGUACCGGAAGGUGCGGCUG
rnacentral:rRNA from 1 species